AUUGAACGCUGUCGGCAGGCUUAACACAUGCAAGUCGAACGAUGAAACUCUAGCUUGCUAGAGAAGAUUAGUGGCGGACGGGUGAGUAACAUUUAGGAAUCUGCCUAGUAGUGGGGGAUAGCUCGGGGAAACUCGAAUUAAUACCGCAUACGACCUACGGGUGAAAGGGGGCGCAAGCUCUUGCUAUUAGAUGAGCCUAAAUCAGAUUAGCUAGUUGGUGGGGUAAAGGCCCACCUAGGCGACGAUCUGUAACUGGUCUGAGAGGAUGAUCAGUCACACCGGAACUGAGACACGGUCCGGACUCCUACGGGAGGCAGCAGUGGGGAAUAUUGGACAAUGGGGGCAACCCUGAUCCAGCCAUGCCGCGUGUGUGAAGAAGGCCUUUUGGUUGUAAAGCACUUUAAGCAGGGAGGAGAGGCUAAUGGUUAAUACCCAUUAGAUUAGACGUUACCUGCAGAAUAAGCACCGGCUAACUCUGUGCCAGCAGCCGCGGUAAUACAGAGGGUGCGAGCGUUAAUCGGAAUUACUGGGCGUAAAGCGAGUGUAGGUGGCUCAUUAAGUCACAUGUGAAAUCCCCGGGCUUAACCUGGGAACUGCAUGUGAUACUGGUGGUGCUAGAAUAUGUGAGAGGGAAGUAGAAUUCCAGGUGUAGCGGUGAAAUGCGUAGAGAUCUGGAGGAAUACCGAUGGCGAAGGCAGCUUCCUGGCAUAAUAUUGACACUGAGAUUCGAAAGCGUGGGUAGCAAACAGGAUUAGAUACCCUGGUAGUCCACGCCGUAAACGAUGUCUACUAGCCGUUGGGGUCCUUGGGACUUUAGUGGCGCAGUUAACGCGAUAAGUAGACCGCCUGGGGAGUACGGCCGCAAGGUUAAAACUCAAAUGAAUUGACGGGGGCCCGCACAAGCGGUGGAGCAUGUGGUUUAAUUCGAUGCAACGCGAAGAACCUUACCUGGUCUUGACAUAGUGAGAAUCUUUCAGAGAUGAGAGAGUGCCUUCGGGAAUUCACAUACAGGUGCUGCAUGGCUGUCGUCAGCUCGUGUCGUGAGAUGUUGGGUUAAGUCCCGCAACGAGCGCAACCCUUUUCCUUAUUUGCCAGCGGGUUAAGCCGGGAACUUUAAGGAUACUGCCAGUGACAAACUGGAGGAAGGCGGGGACGACGUCAAGUCAUCAUGGCCCUUACGACCAGGGCUACACACGUGCUACAAUGGUAGGUACAGAGGGUUGCUACACAGCGAUGUGAUGCUAAUCUCAAAAAGCCUAUCGUAGUCCGGAUUGGAGUCUGCAACUCGACUCCAUGAAGUCGGAAUCGCUAGUAAUCGCAGAUCAGAAUGCUGCGGUGAAUACGUUCCCGGGCCU
rnacentral:rRNA from 1 species